UACAGAGGGUGCGAGCGUUAAUCGGAGUUACUGGGCGUAAAGGGCGCGUAGGCGGUUAUAUGAGUGUGAUGUGAAAGCCCCGGGCUUAACCUGGGAAGUGCAUCGCAAACGAUAUAGCUGGAGUAUAUGAGAGGGUGGCGGAAUUUCCGGUGUAGCGGUGAAAUGCGUAGAGAUCGGAAGGAACGUCAAUGGCGAAGGCAGCCACCUGGCAUAAUACUGACGCUGAGGCGCGAAAGCGUGGGGAGCGAACAGG
rnacentral:rRNA from 1 species